rnacentral:rRNA from 1 species
AUUGAACGCUGGCGGCAUGCUUUACACAUGCAAGUCGAACGGUAACAGGCCUUCGGGUGCUGACGAGUGGCGCACGGGUGAGUAAUGCAUCGGAACGUACCCAGAGGUGGGGGAUAACGCAGCGAAAGCUGUGCUAAUACCGCAUGUGAUCUGAGGAUGAAAGCGGGGGACCGAGCAGCAAUGUUUGGCCUCGCGCCUUUGGAGCGGCCGAUGUCGGAUUAGCUAGUUGGUGGGGUAAAGGCCUACCAAGGCGACGAUCCGUAGCUGGUCUGAGAGGACGACCAGCCACACUGGGACUGAGACACGGCCCAGACUCCUACGGGAGGCAGCAGUGGGGAAUGUUGGACAAUGGGCGCAAGCCUGAUCCAGCAAUGCCGCGUGCGGGAAGAAGGCCUUCGGGUUGUAAACCGCUUUUGGCAGGAACGAAACGGCGUCCGCUAAUACCGGGCGCUAAUGACGGUACCUGCAGAAUAAGCACCGGCUAACUACGUG